rnacentral:rRNA from 1 species
AUGGAUCGACCGGGGAAAUUCCGGCGUCUUAGGCUGCGCUUGGAUGCGAGUAAUCAAAUACAAACGUAUUUAGUUUACACGUGUAUCUUACCGGCCACUAGUAGAUUUUCAGCCGGAAUCAAAACGAUGGGCGAAGAUCUGUAUUUUUUUACAUGUGUAUUUGAGACGAAUCGACAUCCCAAACAAAGCCUCAAUCCAGAUCGCAAUAUGCAUGUGGUAACGUUUGGACGUUUGCCCGGAGCGGGAGAAGACCAUGCUGUCGUCCACGGCUGGUCGCUCUUUCGUCCCGGUUUCUCACUCUGUCUCCCGGUGCUACCCCAUGACCACUGA